UACGUAGGGUCCGAGCGUUGUCCGGAUUUAUUGGGCGUAAAGAGCUCGUAGGCGGCUUACUCAGUCGAAUGUGAAAACUCCAGGCUCAACCUGGAGCCUGCAUUUGAUACUGGUAUGGCUAGAGUCCGGUAGGGGACCACGGAAUUCCUGGUGUAGCGGUGAAAUGCGCAGAUAUCAGGAGGAACACCGGUGGCGAAGGCGGUGGUCUGGGCCGGCACUGACGCUGAGGAGCGAAAGCGUGGGGAGCAAACAGG
rnacentral:rRNA from 1 species